rnacentral:rRNA from 1 species
UACGGAGGGUGCAAACGUUGCUCGGAAUCAUUGGGCGUAAAGCGCACGUAGGCGGCUCGUUAAGUCGGAUGUGAAAGCCCUGGGCUCAACCCAGGAAGUGCAUACGAAACUGGCGAGCUUGAGUAUGGAAGAGGGUCGCGGAAUUCCCGGUGGAGCGGUGAAAUGCGUAGAGAUCGAGAGGAAGGCCAGAGGCGAAAGCGACGACCUGGGGAGGAACUGACACUGAACUACGAAAGCGUGGGGAGCAAACAGG